UACGUAGGGCGCAAGCGUUGUCCGGAAUUAUUGGGCGUAAAGAGCUCGUAGGCGGUCUGUCACGUCGGAUGUGAAAGCCCGGGGCUUAACCCCGGGUCUGCAUUCGAUACGGGCAGACUAGAGUGUGGUAGGGGAGAUCGGAAUUCCUGGUGUAGCGGUGAAAUGCGCAGAUAUCAGGAGGAACACCGGUGGCGAAGGCGGAUCUCUGGGCCUUACCUGACGCUGAGGCGCGAAAGCUAGGGGAGCGAACAGG
rnacentral:rRNA from 1 species